GCCACAAUUAGCAACCUCACUGUUAACGACAGUGGAGUUUUCUGGUGCCAGUACUUGAGUUUUGAAGGAGCAAAACAAUAUUCAUCUAAAAGCAAAGAUGGUGAAACAUUGUUGGUGGUUGAUGGGUGUCCCACUUAUGGACCACACAUGACUGUGACUACCGAGGAACCCGUCCCGAUGUGGUUGCUGGUCAUAUAGUCCUCAUUAUCCUGCUCGUCCCGGUGAUGUGCUGUGUAGAGAAUGGAAAGCCUCAUCAACAGUCUGGUGUUGGACUCCCAGCACAUCGUUCUGACAGUUUAUGAGUAGAUAAGACAACAGAGGGCCACAUCUAUGUCUCAGGUACUGAUCAACCCUGCCGACUGGCCUACCCCAAAUUACCCACACUCAGUAAAACAGCACCACUGGCAUACCAGCUGCAUGCCUUUAAUUAGAAAAGUUUUGGCUUGCUUUGGUUUCAGUUCAGUUUUUCAGCUUCUAUCAAUAUAAAGGAUACAAAUAAUACAAACCUUCUACAGAUUUAUAAAAACUAUAUACAACACAAUGUUAACUUGUGUCAGAAUGGGAUGUCCACCUUGUGUUUGUAAAUAUUUGUCUUUGUUAUAUGAUGAUAAAUAUUCAUUUCAAUAUGCCACUCUGUCAAGUAACUGUAUACACUGCACUGUAUACUGCAGUAUGUAACCGUAGGGAUGACAUUGAAUGUUUUGUUGAUCAAAUAAAUUAAAAUAUUGAUUGGCCUA